ensembl:lncRNA
CUGAAAUCUCUGCUCCUUUAUGGCCUGAAUAAUUCAGCCAUUAAAAACCCAUUUUUAUCUGCUGGCCUGCAAACUGUGGCCUGUGUGGGAGAGGAGAGAGGGAGAUGGACGGAUAAGAUACUGUUUGUCGGUCUCUUUGCUUUAUCUUUAUUUUUUGUAUCUCUUUCUUUGUUAGACUUUCUCUUUUCUCUUCUUUCUGCAGAGGAUAUGAAAUCACAGCCACCUCUACCCGUCUUUUGAGUGUCCUCCGGUGAGGAGCCUUGAUGUUAGCGCGGAGCCGCACUCCGUGAGUUCAGCAGCAGAGGUGGUGGUACGUUAUUCUGCCAUCACACAGAGGAGACCUCAGACUGUUUGGCAGAGAACCAAGGAACAGGCAUUAUGUGUUGAAUGAUCAAGAACAACAAAACAACUUUAGUGGAUUUGAAGUGGAAAAGAAACUGAGUUGGACAACGACAGGAGCUGAAUUCCGUCAGGUUCAGACUUUUGACAAGUGAGAGCUGAGUUGGGUUUUCUGUCUGCCAGGCUAAAGCUUCUGGACGUCACGUGUCUGAAAGAGAAGACUUAUUUAACGGAAGCUCCCCCUCUCCUCUCUGCUCCACUCUGCCUGCUCCUCUCUACCGCCUUUCUCUCCCCUCCUCUCUCUCCUCUCUCUCUUCUCCUCCUCCCCUGCAGACUGUGGAUGGGGAGGUGUUUGAAUGUCUGCUGGCACAGUGGUCAUCGCUGGAGGGAUCCUGGCUGCAGUCAUCCUACUUACCAUCGUAGCUGUGCUGUGUAUAUGUAGACUGCAGUAUUACUGCGGCAAGGGGGGGGAGUCAGAGAAGGAGGAGGAAGAGGAGGAGGAGGAGGAGGAGGAGGAAGGGGAGGAGCAAAGGCUGGUGGACAUGUAUCCGCCUCGCCCCUUGGCCCUGCCUCCACCCCCGACCCCACCCAUCCAGGACCAUUACAGCGACCGCACAGAUUCAGACAUCUACCCCCCUACGUUCCUUACGGAGCCAGACGGCCCCGCCAGCCCCUCCCCCCUUUCCCCCACCCCUCCACCACC